UACGUAGGAGACGAGCGUUGUCCGGAGUUACUGGGCGUAAAGCGUGCGCAGGCGGUUCGUUGUGUCGGCGGUGAAAGCCCCGGGCUUAACCUGGGAAUGGCCGUCGAAACUGGCGAACUGGAGUGUGGCAGAGGGGGGUGGAAUUCCGCGUGUAGCAGUGAAAUGCGUAGAGAUGCGGAGGAACACCGAUGGCGAAGGCAGCCCCCUGGGCUGACACUGACGCUCAGGCACGAAAGCGUGGGGAGCAAACAGG
rnacentral:rRNA from 1 species